rnacentral:misc_RNA from 1 species
GAUGAAGAACGUAGCGAAAUGCGAUAAGUAAUGUGAAUUGCAGAAUCCAGUGAAUCAUCGAAUCUUUGAACGCACAUUGCGCCCGCCAGCAUUCUGGCGGGCAUGCCUGUUCGAGCGUCAUUUCAACCCUCGACCUCCCUUUGGGGAAGUCGGCGUUGGGGACCGGCAGCACACCGCCGGCCCUGAAAUGGAGUGGCGGCCCGUCCGCGGCGACCUCUGCGUAGUAAUCCAACUCGCACCGGAACCCCGACGUGGCCACGCCGUAAAACACCCAACUUCUGAACGUUGACCUCGAAUCAGGUAGGACUACCCGCUGAACUUAAGCAUAUCAAUAAGCGGAGGA